AAUUGUGUACAUCUUGCUGCUGUAGCAUUUCAGCUUUUAGAAUGGUGCUGGCAUACAGAAGAGACCAAACAUAUGCUGAUAUAUUCUGACUGCCUCUCUCCAAAAAGUUAAUUGUUCAAAAGCGGUAUUUGAGCUGUGGUGUAUACAUAGCAGCAUUCAACACUAUGGUGGAUAAAGCAAUCAGUGACAUCGACAGUUUCGAGGUGUACUGGUCUCGCAUUUUGUAGACUGUCCCUUCAUUGGGGGUUGUCUGAUAUUUUCCCCAUGAUUAGACUGGAGUUAUGGGUUUUUGGAAGGAAGAUC